CGAACUCAGGACCUUGUGCUUGCGAGGCAGGCACCAGAAGCACUGAGCUAAAUCCCCGGCCCUAAUUAACACAUGUGAUGGUGGAGGACUGAGAUGAAAUGAUCUCCAGCACAUACUACCAUGCAUACCACUCCUCCAUUCUAUUUCAGGCCUUUAUCAUUUACAGCACCAGUUUUCCAAAUCUCCAGUGUUGAGCUGCUGCGGGACCUGUACAUCGACCGCCCCUUGCCCUACCUCAUUGGCUCCAAACUCUUCAUGGAGCAGGAAGAUGUAGGGCUUGGAGAGCUCUCUAGUAAAGAAGGCUCCGUGGGCAGUGAUCGGGGGAGCAUUGUGGACAGUGAUGCAGAGAAAGAGGAGGAGCACACCACACAGAUGAGCAAUGAAGAAGAGGAUGAUGAUGCUGACCUCUUCGCUGACUCUGAGGAGGAGGAUAUUGAGGACGUUGACAAAGAUACUAAGCCAAAAAAGCCCAUGUCUUUCGCUGAUGAGUUGGCAGCUCAAAUCAAAGGGGAUGGAAGCCGUCUUGGAGAGGAACAGGCAGGUGAGCUGGGACAAGGUAACAAGUCAUCCGUGCAGUACAGGAGCCCCUGCUGGCCCCACUGGGCUGGGGUUCUCCUCAUUCCUAAAGUGCAGAGGCACAGGCACUCUGACACCAGGA
rnacentral:lncRNA from 1 species